rnacentral:lncRNA from 1 species
CCCCAGUAGAUUUUUCUUCUUCUUCAUCCAUGCUCCACACCAUUCUUGAACCUUCCAUGCCAUUUUCUCUUUAUCCACCAGGAAAUCAAGUUUUCUUCACUUUCCUUUCCAUGUUUCCUUUUCCUUUCUUCUCCAAACUUCUUGAGCAUUAAAUUUACAGCCUUUAACCCCAAUUUCCAACACACCAAAAACUUAGGAGGAGAAGAAAGAAAAAGACAGAAAGGAAGAAAAAGCUUGGUUUUGGUGAUUCAAGUAAGGAAAGGUAAGGAUUCUUGUUUUUAGCUUGAGUAGUCUUUGAAAAUAAGUUAGUGACUUAGAGAAAUGUCUUGUGGUGGCAAAGAUUGGCUUGAUUGGAGAAAAAUUGAUAACAUGUAAGCCAAUAAACCCAUGGGUACAUGAAGGACUCAAAGUGGAAAAGGAAAACGGUAAGCUUAACACUAUGUUUUAAGGCUUACGGUUAGUCGAAUAUUGUGAGGAAUUAUGGUUGUUGAAAGGAUUUAUUUGCCUAAGCUAGUUGAAAAUUAUUAAGAUUUUAUGGCAUAUUGUUUAAAAGAAAUGAAAAAGGAAUAUUGUGGAUGGAGGAUUGAGAAACAAAGUAUUGAAAGUUAGAUAGAUAACAAUGCAUGUAAACUAGGAAAUAAUCAAGUGAAAGUGAGAAUGAUUGUUGCUGCCACAUAUGUGGAUUAUGUGUGGAAAUAUAAAAUGAAUUUGGAUAGAAAUUAUUUAUAAAGGUUGAAGUAGGCACGUGGCAUCAUAAAUAAGUUUUCGGUGAUAUAAUCUAAGGAAUUACGUACGCAAUGGAUAUAAGUAAUUUUAGUAAAAAUGUAUUAAGAGGUAAGUUAAUUGAAGAUGGUUUCAUAAUAGGAUGAAAAAUAUAAAUUUAAGUAAGGAUUAAUUAAUUGAAGUGUAUCCCGUAUACGUAUGUAAUUAAAUAUAUUGAGUUCGUAUUAUUGUUAGAAAGUGCAAGGAUAAGGUUAGAGAUGUGGUGGCAUGCUGGAGUAAAUAACGAGCGAUCGACCAGUGAAAAUAGUUAGAGACACCUUUGAACAAAUAGCGACUUAAUAUCUCUUUGUUUUCAGGUGAGUGAACUUGCAUUAAAAUGUUUUGGGAUAUACACAUUUAUGUUUGAUUGAAUCCCUUAAAAUGUUUUAUUGGUUUUUCUUCAAAAACUUGCACGGGAACAAGCCUUUAGUGAAAUGUUUUUGUGAGGUGGAACAUGAUUGUGAUGAAUCUAUGUACUUCUAUAUGAUGCUGAUAUGUAUAUAAGGAUAUAUGAUACAUAUAUAUUGUUAAGUAAUUUUGUAUAAUUGAUGUAACCGUGCAUGUGCAGAGUGGGUAGUGCACAUGCCGGUUGAAUGACAAUGUCAUGAUAAUUACAACCGUGCAUGUGCAAGUGGGCACUGCACAUGCCGGUAAUGAUGCUGUCAUGAUAUUUACAGUCGUGCAUGUGCGGAGUGGGUAGUGCACAUGCCAGUGAUGAUGCACAUGAGCUGGGUGAGAUGGGGUGUCCGGUUAUGUGCACUAUGUGGGGGGAUGCACAUGAGCUUGAUGAAAUAUGGUGGUAUACUAAUUGAUAUAUGCUUAAGUACAUGUAUCUACAAUAGAAAGAUUAUGAUUAUAAUAUGUGAUUAUAUGACAUGAUGAAUCUUGAAAAUUUUCCAUUUUCUUGUGAAUUGAUUUUAUUGUAGCAAGAAACAUUCUGUUUAUACUGCUUUGCUUAGAUGAUUGUUGAAAAUUCUCUCUCUUUCCAAUUUCAUGCUAAAUAUGGUUCCUUCAUUAUGAAAUGAUUUAAUAACCAGAGGUUUGAUGGAGGGAUUUUAAUAAGAACGUGAACUAAGUUGCAUUGUUUUCAAAGAUGGGCAUCAUGAUUUCUAAACCUUCCUUAACGUUGCUUGUUCCCUUCCUAUGUUCACUCACUGAGUUUGUACUCACAUUUUUAAAAAUUCAUGUUUUAGGUUUUCCUGAGUUAAAGGUGAUUGGAUCCUAGGACAAGGUGCUCCUUUCUAUACAUUGCUCGGUAGGUUUAAUGUGACAUUAAGUGUUAUCAAUCGUGCCCAGAGUCACUCCGCUGAAGGUCAAGGUCUAAUUAUGUGUAUCUGAAUAUUUACUGUGAAACAUUAAAAAUCAUUUGUUAAUCUAUUUAUGAAUAUAUUGGUGGAUGAUGCCAUUAUGAAUGUAUUAUUGGAUUUUAUGAAUCGUUUUCAAGGAAACAGUAUUUGAACAUUUUGAGCUUUGGAUUCUAAAGGAAUAAGGAUUAAUGUAUAAGAUCAAUUAAGUAGGCUUGCUUGGGCUUAGUGGGCUGAGCCCAUUAGGUCCUUGUGCCGGUCAUGGCCCCAGAAUUGGGCUAUGACAAACUCCAUCUCGAGUCUUAGGAUACAAUUUGAGACACUAGACCUUUUAUUUGUCAUCCUCAUCAGUAAAGCCUUUUAUUGAAGAACCACCGAAGUUAGAGCUUAAACCAUUGCCAAAUCAUCUAAGGUAUGCAUAUCUUGGUGACUCGUCUAUUCUUCUUGUUAUUAUUUUCCCUGAUCUCACUAACAAGUAAGAAGAUAAGCUAUUGAGAGUUAUGAGAAAGUACAAGAAGACAUUGGGGUAGACAAUAGCAGACAUAAAAGGAAUAAGUCCUUCGAUAUGCAUGCCUAAAAUUUAAAGGAUGUAAUAACUCUAUUAUAUAGAGUUAUUUUAACCCAUUUUGAGACUUAAGUAUCUAGUUCUUUGAGAUUUUAGGUUUGGAUUUUAGUAUUUCAGGUGUUUUUCUUUGUUAAGUUUGGUUACAUGUUGAUUAGUUUAAUUUAAGUAUUUUUAGUUAAUUUUAUGUAAUUUGGUUUUAAACUACUUUAGUAUAGUGAUUGCUGAUAUUACUUAUUGUUCUUAAAGGAAAUUUAAUGAGAAAGGUUUAUUUGAUAAAAAUUCGUGCAAGUAUGGUGAUGGCUUCAUUCAUAUGUAUUGCAAUAUUGUGCAGAUAACUUGAACUACAAAAGUCUAAUUGAUGUGAUUCUUAAUCCAAUGGAAAGCUAAGAGGUAUGGAUGAAACUUUUAUGUUUACCAAUUUGCCCAGUUCGGAAUGGAUAGAGGUGAAAAUUAUGUUGAAAGAGGUUAGACUGCUACAGUUCUACACAAGGUAGUAUAAUGGAAUGAGGGCCGCGAUAUUGAUUUGCUCAAGGUUGUAGUGUCAUGAUGCAUUAGUGCAUGAUACAAAAUCCAAAAAGCAUAGCACCAUGGUGUUGAGGAGAGUAAAGCCAUGGCAUUAGUUGAAGUAAGGCUCCCAUAAUAGAGCUUGAGAGUAGAGCGUCGUGGUGCUAAGUAAGCAAGGCCAUGGGGUUGGAAGAAUAAAGCACAUUAUACAAAGGCUAGGGCGCCACAGUAGACCAAGGCCAUGAUGCUAGACAAAUUUCUAAAAUAAAUUGUUGACUAGAAUUUGGAAAUAAGAGUUUUUGGAGCUUAUUUAAAAGACUUUUUUCAUAGAUUUUAGAGGGUGGACGACAAGUAAUUAUUCUGGAGAAAAAGAGCCAAGAAUGUAGCAAGAAAGAACGAGACUUUAAGAGAGAAUUUAGAUUGAAAAGCAUCAACAAUUAAUUUCUAUUUCUAAUUUUGUGUUUCUUUUAAUUUCUUUGACUUGGAUUCAUGUCUAAUUUUCUUUAGAUGAUAUUUUUAUUUGUUAUUAUGAGCUAAACUAUUUUUCUAGGAUUGUGGUGGAUUUCAACAUGUAAUAUGAAU